CGGACGGGUGAGUAACACGUGGAUAACCUACCUAUAAGACUGGGAUAACUUCGGGAAACCGGAGCUAAUACCGGAUAAUAUUUUGAACCGCAUGGUUCAAAAGUGAAAGACGGUCUUGCUGUCACUUAUAGAUGGAUCCGAGCUGCAUUAGCUAGUUGGUAAGGUAACGGCUUACCAAGGCAACGAUGCAUAGCCGACCUGAGAGGGUGAUCGGCCACACUGGAACUGAGACACGGUCCAG
rnacentral:rRNA from 1 species